UGUGCUCACGUGAAACUUUCAUGUGCUCACACAAAACCUAAAAUUUUGUUUCAUGUGAUCACGUGAAACUUUCAUGUGCGCACACAAAACCUUUUCAUGUGCGCACAUGAAAGUUUCAGCAAAGAACUACGGUUAGAUGGCGGCUAAAGAUGAGUUGGAAACGUUCCUUAAAAGCCGAAAUAUACCAGACAAUAUCAUAUUUAAACUGAAAGAUGAUAAAAGCUGGGUCAAUAUAUCGAUAGAUAUGGAGACCGACUUGCUCUUCGAGCAUUUUGUCGGCAAAGAACUUUGACGAACAACAGUGAGACAGUGAAGUCAUCUCUGAUGCACAGGGUUCGAGAAAAAAUUGAAGGAAGAACCUCCACCGCAAGCAUUAAACAGAAAAUGGAUGAAUUGGAAUUGAAUGGAAACUUGAUUUAUGUCUGUGUACUGGAACAAAACCAGGAGACAUCAUCACAAGAGGACUGAAACUCCAAAAGAGGAUCACCCAGAGAAAUCUUCUGAUUCAGAUGAGGCACCUACUGACUCAGUGCAAGAAACUCAUAAAAGAACAGGGUGACCAGCCAGGCAAUCAAGACCAGUCCCUCGUGAGAUGAGUGACAUAGAAUUCAUGCCUUCACUUUCUGAUGAUUGUUUAAUGCUUGCGUCAAAUGAACAUGCAGACCAGUGCAGUUCUGAGGUGGAUUCCCCAAUUGCCCUUGCCAUCCAUGCAUCUCUCGAAGACUUUGAAGUACAGUUUGGAGGAAUUUGUGCUGGUGAUGAUUGUUGUGAAGACUCCACUCUUCCUUGGAAUCCUUGUGAUCUCAACAAUAUGCAGCAUUCUACAAUGAAUGAUGGACCUGCAUCAUCAAACAGUCUUACAGCAUCACCAGAUCAGUCUGAAAAAUAAGUCUUGUAUGUGUAAUUAAGGCGAGUAAACAUAGUUCAUGACAUCCUUAAUGUCUUCAUGGAACCAAGAGUAUUGAAUGUUAAUCUGAAAAUGGAGUUUAUGAAUGAGAAAGCUGUGGACAGUGAUGCUGUGUCAAGAGAGGUGUAUUCAGCCUUCUGGGAACACUUCUUGGAACAAUGUGAGGGGGAAGAAGAGAGAGUUCACAGACUACGACCAGACAAUUCUGAGAAGGAAGAGUCUGGUUGAAAGGAUACUUGGACCACGGCAUCAUGCCUAUCAUACUGUCACCAGCUUUUGUUCUUGCCAGCUGCCAAGGAGUCAGCUGAGUGGAUGAAGAACACUUGAUGAUGUCCUUUGCCAGAUUCCUGUCAGUGACUGAGAGACAAUCCAUUGAAAAAGCAAUGCAGGGCAGCAUGGAUGAGAGUGAUGAGGAGGAAUUACUCAACCUCUUCUCACGAAUGGGUGCACCCUGCCUGCCCUGUAAAGAUAACCUAAGGGCUACCAUUGUAACAAUGGCACACAAAGCUCUUCUCAAAGAGCCAACAUUUAUUAUUGAUUGUUUCCAGUCCAGUAUUUACACUGCUUUGCCAACUCCCAUAACCAAAGGCCGCCUAAUGGAGUUCUAUGAAUCUAAGCGACCAACCAACAGGAAAGUGGCACAGAUGAUUAAACAAUCAAAUGCGUACACAGGAGCAGGCAGCCCUCCACCACCUAAUAUGAUAUGUCAGAAGCAUUGACCAAAAGAAGCUAGAAACCUUUUUGCGCUUCUGCACAGGCUCCACAGUGCUGUGCAAAGACAAAAUUGAAGUAACCUUUAAUUAACUGUGUGGUUUAAGUUGCAGGCCUGUUGCACACACUUGUGGAGCAGUACUUGAGUUACCAUGCAUCUACAGCACAUACCCUGAAUUUCGAACAGAAUUUGACUGUUUACUGUCUGGUGAUUGUUUCACAAUGGCUAAUGUGUAGACAAAGUUACACUUUUCACUUUUCUGUGGGAAAAACGUGAAUCCUAAAAAGGAGUUAAAACAUGAGAUACCUAUUGACAAUCAAUGUUUGUUGUUAUAAUGGAUGUAAGAAAUGAUGUUAUUAACCAUCAAUGUUUGGGUGUCAGUAGAAUCCAUAAUAGGCUUCAUGAUGAUAACAGCUGAGUGAGCUUUUCAAAGAGGUGGUAACUCAUCAACACUCCACUUCCAUUUACUUCCAUAAAUGCGAAUGUCAGUGUUGUCGUGGAUUUAUGGAGACAUUGAGCAUAAAUAGUUUUCACAUCUCGCACACAGAAACUGUAAUGCAUCCCGUUAAAUUUGCAUAUUUAAGAUGCAGAGGUAAACAACACAGUAGCUCACUUGUUAUAAGAAGGUAAAUGGUAUCUUGUUUUUCCAAAGUGAUAUUGUCAAAUGUAAUGACAAACAAAUGAGACAAAUGGAGAGUUUACGAUAAACAGCUGCUGUGAGGGUGAAAAUGUUAUCGUCACAGAUAAAUAUAUAGACAGUGUAUUUAAAAAAAUUGAAAACAUCUAGUGCUAAAACGAUUAGUUGAUUAAUUGAUCUAUCUUUAAAUCGUUUUGGUUGUUUAUCCAGCCAAAACAUUAAUUGCUUCCAGUUUUUCUAAUGUGAAGAUUUGCUGCUUUUUCUGUUUGAUAUUACUGUAAAUUCACUCCUUCGAGUUUUGGGUGAGUUGGUCGGUCAAAACAAGACAUUUGAAGGAGUCACUUGGGCUCUGAGUGGUCGUGAUGGGCAUUUGGUAAUGCUAAUUUCUGAGCAUGUUUGCUCAAAUUAACUUAUGAUUUGGUACUAAUUGUAGGGAAAAUAUUAGUGUCCUUGAAAGAAAGAUUCCAUCAAAACCAAGUACAUCAUUUAUUUGUUGUUGGAAACUUUAAUAUCUAAUUUGUUGAGUUAUUUUUGUACAUUCAGGUAACCUGCUCCAGAAAGGUAUGUUGUCCUGUUGGGUUGUUAUAGAAUAAUACAAAGAAUAAUAACUUUUACUUAUUUUUUUAUUAAGCAUAAAUGUUUGUUAUGUAAAGUACUGACAUGUGUUUUUGCAGAUUUCCGUUUAGCAGUUAAAUACACUACAUACUUGCUGUUAAUUAGAACGUUUGGACAGUGAUGGUGUCCAGAAAGGUCUGCUGUCCUGUGUAGUUGUUGUAAUAGAUGCAAGAAAAGUAAAACUUUUACUUACUUGUUAUUAAGCAUAAAUGUUUGUUAGGUUAUAUUUAUUUUAUGCAUUUUCAGGGAAGCUGUUAUUACUGUACAAUACUGCAGAAUAUCGCAUUUCACACGUUCACUUGUUUUACAUUUCGGCAAAUGGCAAAUACCAGUGGCUGUUUUUGUUGAAGCCUCACUUGGUAAACAUACUCAAAAUGUCCAAGAUACUGUUAAAUUAAAAUUACAACUUUCUCAUUCA